rnacentral:lncRNA from 1 species
UUCAAAUUGGUCUACAUUAAAGUCCAAAGGGUCCAAAAUUAAACUUAGUUUGAUUUUAACAAAAAUUAAAUUUUUGGGCUUCUUUGAUAUGCUUUAUCUAAACAUGUACUUUGAUUUUUGAUUAUGGGCCCAGUUUUCAAGUUGGUCCAAAUCAGGAUUCAAAAUUAUCACAUUGAGUAUUGUGGAAUAGCAAGAAAUUUUCAAUUGCACAGUAUUGCACAUCAGCAAGAAAUAUCUAAUUGCACAAUAUUGUGCAAUAGCAAUUUUUUUUUUCAAUUGGAGUUAUCUUUCUUUGUAUAGAAUAGUAGUUGAAUCAACCUUAAUCAUUGUUUUAUACAAUAUACAAUGUAUUUUCAUUUUUACUACCAACUGAUAAAUUAAAACAAUCUUUACCAUUCAGUGAUAACAAGCACUUUUUAUAACAUUUUAAUAUUGUAUGAUGUAUUUAAAUGAGCAGUUAUUGUUGCAAACUUCAUUAGAAAUUUGAAUUGAAAUCAGUACAUUAUAACUUUAGUAUAAGUGAAUAGAAAUCUAUGAAAUUUAAACACAAGGUUUAUGACCAUAAAAGGAAGGUUGGUAUUGAUUUCGGGAGUUUUGGUCCCAACAGUUUAGGAAUUUGGGGCCCAAAGGGUCCAAAAUUAAACUUUUUUGUUUGAUUUUGACAAAAAUUGAAUCCUUGGGGUUCUUUGAUAUGCUGAAUCUAAAAAUGUACUUAGAUUUUUAAUUAUUGGCCCAGUUUUCAAGUUGGUCCAAAUCGGGGUCGAAAAUUAAACUUUGUU